UACGUAGGGGCCUAGCGUUGUCCGGAUUUAUUGGGCGUAAAGAGCUCGUAGGCGGUUCGGUAAGUCAGGUGUGAAAUCUCCACGCUCAACGUGGAGGCGCCACCUGAAACUGCCGUGACUCGAGUCCGGUAGGGGAGUGUGGAAUUCCCGGUGUAGCGGUGAAAUGCGCAGAUAUCAGGAGGAACACCGGUGGCGAAGGCGGAUCUCUGGGCCUUACCUGACGCUGAGGCGCGAAAGCUAGGGGAGCGAACAGG
rnacentral:rRNA from 1 species